UCGACUAUUGGAGUACCAAGCUUGCUGGCCCAAAAUGGUCACCAUUUGCUUCAUGGAUAACUGGCUGGUAUAUUGAGAUGAUUUCUUUGGAGCAAUUCUUGACAACAUUUGUAGUUGAGGCCUUUAGAAUGGAAGAAUGUAUUUCACUAAUUUUUGUGUAUAUUUCUUGUUUUGUAUUUAGUGAUAAAGGAAUCUGAAUUGGGCAUAAAUUAUGUUGUAAUAUGAUUUCUUAAGCCUAGACUAGUAGACUAAAUAUUGUAAUUACAUUUGAGUAAUUAAUAAAAAUCUAUUUAUGUUACCUUA